CAUGCAACCUCAAUUAUGUUGGUCGGCGAUACACCAUCACACCCAGCCCAGCCUAGUCGGCGAUACACCAUCACACCCAACCCAGCCCGUCGAAACUGGUCCACAAAGUCUUUUCCUCCAUUCAAAUCAAGGUCAAAGCAUAUUCCUUCGCCUUCCUUCAUCAAUAUAUAGCAUCGACUUUUCUUUGUGUUGCAGCUAGGACAAGAAUUCCGAACAUAUGGAAGUCGAAAACCAUAAGGAAGGUUUUUUCCAUCGAACGAAGGUUUGUCACAAUUCACUAGCACUAAUAUAAAUGCCAAUAAUGUAAAUGGUACAAUCCAUUUAUACUCCAU